AAAGGUCUUCUCGCUGCAAGGCGAGAGUGCUAACCACUACACUACCGUGUGGCCCAUGAUGAUGAUAGUAAUCAUGAAUAUUAUGUCAAAUGUGUUUCUUUUUUAAUCCUUAUUUUAAGGUGAGAUACACGUGUGUGUGUGUGUGUGUGUGUGUGUCUCAGCAGCUGUCACAGAAAUAGAGAAACCUGAGUAAAGACAUUGUUUUUUUUUUACUAUCACAGUGAGGACGUUUCUAAACUGGGUGAACUUCAUGCGACACAGUUUUAACCAGCUACACAAUCUCCUACAAAAGGGAACCGAUCAUUAGAAGCUUAACACAAUACUGACAAGCAAGAGAACUGAGAACUGAGAAGCAACAUCUAGCAGCAGUUUGUAUUUGUCUUCAAGUUCCAUUCGACCGUUGCUCCUAGAACACGUUUCCUUACUGAAAUGGUGUGGACGUCACUCUCAGUCGUCUGAUGUAAAUGUUGGUGCAUUUGUCCUCAGUAAGACAAACUUAGGACCAAGUGUGGACUAAAUGUACAUUAUUCUGUUAUUUCUGUGUUCAGACCAGUUCAUUAACCACGGAUCAUUCCUGGAGCUCUGGGUCCAGACGUUGUUUCAUAUUUAUAUAUAUAUUCAUAUUCAUAUUUGUGUUCACAUGUGAAUGUAUCACGUAAAGGUUAAACAAAAUAAUUAGCCCUGCUUUUAAAAACAAGUCUUGUGAUCAAUAGCCAAAUAUUAGGAUUCAGUGAAGUCUCGUGGUCUAGAGUUCCAUCAUGGCACGUGAUUAAAGUCCUGUCUUUACUGGAAUCUUCCAUUCCAUGGAAAUAAUUCAAGUUAUUACACCUGACUAUUGUUAUCAGAACUUUUUAUAUGCUUACAGAUGAGAGCAAAAGGAUUUCUGGGAGUCAUUCCAGCAGAUGAUGAGCUGAGGCUCGUCGCUGCCCGUGACCCGCCAUCUCUCACUCUGUCUGUGGAGUUUCUGAGGAUCACUCCGUGCUCCUGGAUGCUCCAUUGCCCUCUGAGCUCAUAGAGGACAGUGAAGUGGAACCCAGAGUCCAUCAGAGCCGACUGAUAACCCGGCCUCCAUUUCAUCCUGCUGCACUUUAACAUUCCAGCAGAGGAGUAGACACCACUUUAUCUGUUGUGUGUCCAGGCCAACAAUCAAGAAGUGGACCAAAUGCACUUUCAUAUCCCAUAUAUAUAUAUAUAUACACAUAUACAUACUAUUAUAUACUAUACCAUACAUUUGAUCAUCAUUAUUCCAUGAGGGUCAGCACCACCAACCCAAACAGAACAGCACUAUAGUUACCUCAGAUUUAUUUGCAAUUACAAAUAGAAUAUAUUGACUUGUCUGAGUUCAUUUUGUUUUACAGCCAACAUGUUCCUGUCAGUCAGACAGUGGCAUCAUCGUUGACAUCCCAGAUGUGACUGCUCUGAAGACAUGAUGGCACAUUUCCCAGAGAAGACACAGAACAGAUGCUGCAGACACUGUAAUAAAGGCCACUGUAAUACACUGUGCAGAAAGUGACACAGGGUUUUGAACAUCGUCAUUUUCUCCCACUUGGGUUCCUCCAGCAUGAACGGGUCUGCCCCAAACUUUUCAUUCAGUUUUAUAUAAUUAACCUAAUGAUUCAUAAAAAUGUGACCGUGUGAUUCUUAUUAUUCAUGAUAUUUACUGUUGGAGUGUUUUGUAAGUAGUUCUGUAUAUUUGUUCUGACAGUGAAAUAUUCUGGUCCCGUCGAGGCCCAAUGUUGCAAUAUUACAACAUUUCUGUAAAAACAUCAGAAACAAGUGAGAGGAACGUUUGUUGUGCUUUUUCAGGGAUGUGCUGUCCAGUUGCUGGUGAAGCUGUAAACGGAGCUGGUGGGUGUGGAAGGAUCAAGUGCACACAGCAAACGCAUGCAGUCUAAUCCUCGGGUCAGACGUGUCCACUUCUGUUCGACUGGAGUCACGGAAUAAUUGGUGAUGUUUGAGCGAGCGACGUGAUGACACAUCGACCCGCGUGAGCCGGGAGUAAAACAUCAUCGAUUUCAAGACGGCUCUGACCCGACAGACCCCGGAACCAGGACUCACCUGGAAGACGCAGUUUAGAUUCACCGCACUUUAAGCCUGUGAACUCUUUCUGUCACUGACCACUCACUCCCUGUACCAAAGUCCACAGAGUCAUACAGGAGCUGCUGAUCCUGCUGAUGCUGAUAAAUUGUGUGACGUCAGUGUUUGGAAUCCAUUGUUUCAGUUACUCUGAGUGACAUUUACUGACCAAACAAGCUCCUGUGUCACUGUGGACCAAAAAGACUGGUUUUCUCUAUGGCCUUUGGUGCAGGAGAGUGAGCGGUUACCAAACUGUUGGGAAAACACAUUAUUAAGAUGUCAGAGACUUAAAAGUGGCAAAAAAGACUUUUAAAAUGGAGCAAAUCUCCAUUUUGAGCUUUAUUUUUGGCUCCAGUGCAGUAAGUGCUGUCUGUGUGUCAGCGUCAUAUAAAAGGGUCAAUUACAGGCACGUACUGUGAUAUACCAGGGUAUAGAAAAGUAAUAAAGAAUGGAUCAUGAAAACAAACACAAAAAAUAUUGCUUCUCAAGACACUUGCUUUUCUAGAGGGAAUAAAAGACGCUGCGACUUUGAACCGCAUUGAUUUUCCUAAAAGAAAUAUAUCUGUAUCUAUAUGUCCAGGCUGAGUGUUUGCUGUGAAGGAAUGAUGACGGCGAGGAGGAGGAGGAGGAGGAGGAGGAGGAGGUGCAGCUCCUGAUUAUUGGCCAGGACACAGUCUAUCAGGGAUCCACUGAAGUGUGACACACACACACACACACACACACGCACACACACA